rnacentral:rRNA from 1 species
CACGUAGGGCGCAAGCGUUGUCCGGAAUUAUUGGGCGUAAAGGGCUCGUAGGCGGUCUGUCGCGUCGGGAGUGAAAACUCAGGGCUUAACCCUGAGCCUGCUUCCGAUACGGGCAGACUAGAGGUAUGCAGGGGAGAACGGAAUUCCUGGUGUAGCGGUGAAAUGCGCAGAUAUCAGGAGGAACACCGGUGGCGAAGGCGGUUCUCUGGGCAUUACCUGACGCUGAGGAGCGAAAGUGUGGGGAGCGAACAGG